CAAAAGAAUAUUUGUGAUAGUUACUCAUUUUAUGCCCUAGAUAACAAUUGAAAGUUCGUGGCAUUUGGUGCGGUGACAACUGGGACGCUUCCAGAUAGAACAGAAAGUGGUAGUUCUGCACCAUCAAGCUCCUGCUGCUCUCACUAGCAAUAAUCAAGAGGUACGAGAGAUUUAGUUCUCCUGUGGCAGAUCAAUGCACCAUGGAAGUCUGGCUAGUAAAUAUCCUUGAUGCGUCUCAAGAAUCGGGGUGAUUUUUGGGUGCUAAAAUCGGGAGGAGUAUCAAGCU
rnacentral:lncRNA from 1 species